AUCGAUUUCAGCGGGAUAGGGGCGCGAAACUGACAAAAACUAAAGUUAAAAAAGAAAAGAAGGAAAAGCUCCAAAAAUUUCACCGUAAUCCCUCCAAAUUCUCUUUCACCCUAAAAUCCCUCCAAAAUACUAGUAUUAGGCUAAAAUCCCUGAGAGGCAGCCGCAAAACUUCAUCAAAAUGCACACAGUUGCAAAGAAAUCAGAAGGGUAGUGUCUAAAAUUCAUCUCUCCAAGCGACUUUACACAAAUUAUACCAUUGGAUUAUCCGCCUAAACAAGAUGUGCUUGGUGAAGGGGAGCAUACGAUAAUGUUUUAUAUUUGCUUGCAAAGGAAUCUUCCAGGAUUUGAUCCUAAUACACGACAUUGCUUGUAUGGUUUGGACGCAGACUUGAUAAUGCUGGCAUUGGCGUCACAUGAAAUUCACUUUUCAAUUCUAAGGGAGUUUCUUAAAGUAUGGGUACUCAGAGAUUAUUUGUGAUACGAACUUCAAAUUCCAGAUCCAACUGUCAAACUAGACCUGGAGCGACUGAUAGAUGAUUUUGUUUUCAUGUGUUUAUUUGUUGGAAAUGAUUUUCAUCCCAUGUGCCAUCUUUGGAGAUAUAAGAGGGAGCCAUUAACUUACUCAUUGAUGUCUACAAGAAGGAAUUUGUCAAUAUGGGUGGCUAUCUUACUAAUUCUUGUUAGGUUAAUUUGGAGAGGGCGGGGCACUUUAUACAAGCCAUUGGUUCUUAUGAGAAUGCUGUCUUUAGGAAGCGUAUCCAGGUUUUGGAUAUUGAAGUUUACUAGAAGCAAAUUUUUGAAGACAUACAGAUUAACCAUCAUUUUACUGGGAGUUUCAAGAAAAUUUUCAUUACAAUCGAGGGAUAUUAGUGAUAUGUAAUUUUUUGCUAAAUUUUUAUGAACACAAUAUUGUGAUUAGCUUACAUUAUUGAUGUACGGUGCAACUAAAUGAUGUUGAUCAUUUUUGGCAUUAUUUUAUGAAAGCAACAUCAUCUAUA